UACGAAGGGGGCUAGCGUUGCUCGGAAUCACUGGGCGUAAAGCGCACGUAGGCGGAUCUUUAAGUCGGGGGUGAAAUCCUGGAGCUCAACUCCAGAACUGCCUUCGAUACUGGGGAUCUUGAGUCCGAGAGAGGUGAGUGGAACUCCGAGUGUAGAGGUGAAAUUCGUAGAUAUUCGGAAGAACACCAGUGGCGAAGGCGGCUCACUGGCUCGGUACUGACGCUGAGGUGCGAAAGCGUGGGGAGCAAACAGG
rnacentral:rRNA from 1 species